UCACACUCACACUAAACCAAUGAUUCUGGAACCGAACCCUACCCAUGACUAGUUUGUUUAGAUCAAUAUUGACACAUCCAUGUAAAUCUCCCUCAUCGCAUCCAUCGUACGAAAGUCUACUCGCACAGGUGUUCCUACUACCGCCGCCAUUGCCAGUAGCAGGCUUUCAUCAUAAUAUUCCAACCUUAGUGAUGGAAACCUAAUCCAAACCAACAUACUUUUUAUCUUUAUUUUAGAAGCUAUAAAAUCGGGUACCCAUGGUUGCACACUGCAAGGUAAUGAUUGAAUAACAUCCAAGGACCUUCUCCAAUGACCCUUUCUCUAUCCUGGGCCAGAUCAAACUUCAUCCACAUGUCGAAACCUCCGAUUAAUUUCUAGAUUACUUUCAAAUGAUCUCUCAUCACAAAGAAACUUAAAAACCUCCCCAGCAAUUUUAUAAUCACCGCAUCCUUCCAAGGCUUCCACAAAUCCUCCAGCACACUGUCCUUUACAUAGCACCUCUGUUUCAACCAAUCUUCGUCCUCCAACUCAAUCUGAAACAAUUUCCUCGUUAUCAAGUCCGCUCAUUCCUUCCUAGGUAUCGCUGAUUGAUUCGCCAUCAUCUUAUCUUGAAAAGAAACUCAAAAUAUCCCACCCUCUCCCUCCCCAUCUAGUGGUUUAGGAGGAGGUUUAGAACCAUGUGUGUCUCUCGU
rnacentral:lncRNA from 1 species